rnacentral:rRNA from 1 species
GGGGAAUAUUGCACAAUGGGGGAAACCCUGAUGCAGCGACGCCGCGUGAAGGAAGAAGGUUUUCGGAUCGUAAACUUCUAUCAGCAGGGAAGAAGAAAGUGACAGUACCUGACUAAGAAGCCCCGGCUAACUACGUGCCAGCAGCCGCGGUAAUACGUAGGGGGCAAGCGUUAUCCGGAAUCACUGGGUGUAAAGGGUGCGUAGGCGGUAGGGCAAGUCAGAUGUGAAAGCCCGGAGCUCAACUCCGGGAUUGCAUUUGAAACUGUUCUACUAGAGUGCAGGAGAGGAAAGCGGAAUUCCUAGUGUAGCGGUGAAAUGCGUAGAUAUUAGGAAGAACACCAGUGGCGAAGGCGGCUUUCUGGACUGUAACUGACGCUGAGGCACGAAAGCGUGGGGAGCGAAC